rnacentral:rRNA from 1 species
UCUGGAAACGGAUGCUAAUACCGCAUAUACCCUGAGGGGGAAAGAUUUAUCGCUUUAAGAUUGGCCCAUGGCAGAUUAGGUAGUUGGUGGGGUAAAGGCCUACCAAGCCGACGAUCUGUAGCUGGUCUGAGAGGACGAUCAGCCACAUUGGGACUGAGACACGGCCCAGACUCCUACGGGAGGCAGCAGUGAGGAAUAUUGGGCAAUGGGGGCAACCCUGACCCAGCCAUGCCGCGUGAGUGAAGAAGGUUUUCGAAUUGUAAAGCUCUUUCGGAUGUGACGAUGAUGACGGUAGCAUCUAAAGAAGCCCCGGCAAACUUCGUGCCAGCAGCCGCGGUAAUACGAAGGGGGCGAGCGUUGUUCGGAAUUACUGGGCGUAAAGGGUGUGUAGGUGGACGUGUAAGAUAGCGGUGAAAUGCCGGAGCUCAACUUCGGAAUUGCCAUUAUAACUAUGCGUCUAGAAUUAUAGAGAGGAUAGCGGAAUACCCAGUGUAGAGGUGAAAUUCGUAGAUAUUGGGUAGAACACCAGUGGCGAAGGCGGCUAUCUGGCUAUAUAUUGACACUGAGGCACGAAAGCAUGGGGAUCAAACAGG